UACGAAGGGGGCUAGCGUUGCUCGGAAUCACUGGCGUAAAGGGUGCGUAGGCGGGUCUUUAAGUCAGGGGUGAAAUCCUGGAGCUCAACUCCAGAACUGCCUUUGAUACUGAGAGCUUGAGUCCGGGAGAGGUGAGUGGAACUGCCGAGUGUAGAGGUGAAAUUCGUAGAUAUUCGCAAGAACACCAGUGGCGAAGGCGGCUCACUGGCCCGGUACCUGACGCUGAGGUGCGAAAGCGUGGGGAGCAAACAGG
rnacentral:rRNA from 1 species